rnacentral:rRNA from 1 species
UACGAAGGGGGCUAGCGUUGCUCGGAAUCACUGGGCGUAAAGCGCACGUAGGCGGCUUUCUAAGUCAGGGGUGAAAUCCUGGAGCUCAACUCCAGAACUGCCUUUGAUACUGGAGAGCUUGGGUCCGGGAGAGGUGAGUGGAACUCCGAGUGUAGAGGUGAAAUUCGUAGAUAUUAGGAAGAACACCAGUGGCGAAGGCGGCUCACUGGUCCGGUACUGACGCUGAGGUGCGAAAGCGUGGGGAGCAAACAGG